AGAGUUUGAUCAUGGCUCAGGAUGAACGCUAGCUACAGGCUUAACACAUGCAAGUCGAGGGGCAGCAUGGUCUUAGCUUGCUAAGGCCGAUGGCGACCGGCGCACGGGUGAGUAACACGUAUCCAACCUGCCGUCUACUCUUGGACAGCCUUCUGAAAGGAAGAUUAAUACAAGAUGGCAUCAUGAGUCCGCAUGUUCACAUGAUUAAAGGUAUUCCGGUAGACGAUGGGGAUGCGUUCCAUUAGAUAGUAGGCGGGGUAACGGCCCACCUAGUCUUCGAUGGAUAGGGGUUCUGAGAGGAAGGUCCCCCACAUUGGAACUGAGACACGGUCCAAACUCCUACGGGAGGCAGCAGUGAGGAAUAUUGGUCAAUGGGCGAGAGCCUGAACCAGCCAAGUAGCGUGAAGGAUGACUGCCCUAUGGGUUGUAAACUUCUUUUAUAAAGGAAUAAAGUCGGGUAUGCAUACCCGUUUGCAUGUACUUUAUGAAUAAGGAUCGGCUAACUCCGUGCCAGCAGCCGCGGUAAUACGGAGGAUCCGAGCGUUAUCCGGAUUUAUUGGGUUUAAAGGGAGUGUAGAUGAUGUUUAAGUCAGUUGUGAAAGUUUGCGGCUCAACCGUAAAAUUGCAGUUGAUACUGGAUAUCUUGAGUGCAGUUGAGGCAGGCGGAAUUCGUGGUGUAGCGGUGAAAUGCUUAGAUAUCACGAAGAACUCCGAUUGCGAAGGCAGCCUGCUAAGCUGCAACUGACAUUGAGGCUCGAAAGUGUGGGUAUCAAACAGGAUUAGAUACCCUGGUAGUCCACACGGUAAACGAUGAAUACUCGCUGUUUGCGAUAUACAGCAAGCGGCCAAGCGAAAGCGUUAAGUAUUCCACCUGGGGAGUACGCCGGCAACGGUGAAACUCAAAGGAAUUGACGGGGGCCCGCACAAGCGGAGGAACAUGCGGUUUAAUUCGAUGAUACGCGAGGAACCUUACCCGGGCUUAAAUUGCAGAUGAAUUACGGUGAAAGCCGUAAGCCGCAAGGCAUCUGUGAAGGUGCUGCAUGGUUGUCGUCAGCUCGUGCCGUGAGGUGUCGGCCUAAGUGCCAUAACGAGCGCAACCCUUGUUGUCAGUUACUAACAGGUUCCGCUGAGGACUCUGACAAGACUGCCAUCGUAAGAUGUGAGGAAGGUGGGGAUGACGUCAAAUCAGCACGGCCCUUACGUCCGGGGCUACACACGUGUUACAAUGGGGGGUACAGAGGGCCGCUACCACGCGAGUGGAUGCCAAUCCCAAAAACCUCUCUCAGUUCGGACUGGAGUCUGCAACCCGACUCCACGAAGCUGGAUUCGCUAGUAAUCGCGCAUCAGCCACGGCGCGGUGAAUACGUUCCCGGGCCUUGUACACACCGCCCGUCAAGCCAUGGGAGCCGGGGGUACCUGAAGUGCGUAACCGCGAGGAGCGCCCUAGGGUAAAACUGGUGACUGGGGCUAAGUCGUAACAAGGUA
rnacentral:rRNA from 1 species